UACGUAGGGUGCAAGCGUUAAUCGGAAUUACUGGGCGUAAAGCGUGCGCAGGCGGCUUUGCAAGACAGAUGUGAAAUCCCCGGGCUCAACCUGGGAACUGCAUUUGUGACUGCAUGGCUGGAGUGCGGCAGAGGGGGAUGGAAUUCCGCGUGUAGCAGUGAAAUGCGUAGAUAUGCGGAGGAACACCGAUGGCGAAGGCAAUCCCCUGGGCCUGCACUGACGCUCAUG
rnacentral:rRNA from 1 species